rnacentral:rRNA from 1 species
CAGCAGCCGCGGGAAUACGUAGGGUGCAAGCGUUAAUCGGAAUUACUGGGCGUAAAGCGUGCGCAGGCGGUUGUGUAAGACAGGUGUGAAAUCCCCGGGCUUAACCUGGGAACUGCGCUUGUGACUGCACAGCUAGAGUAUGGCAGAGGGGGGUGGAAUUCCACGUGCAGCAGUGAAAUGCGUAGAGAUGUGGAGGAACACCGAUGGCGAAGGCAGCCCCCUGGGCCAAUACUGACGCUCAAGCACGAAAGCGUGGGGAGCAAACAGGAUUAGAUACCCCCGUAGUCCCUGUCUCUUAUAC